rnacentral:rRNA from 1 species
AUACGUAGGGGGCGAGCGUUGUCCGGAAUUAUUGGGCGUAAAAGGUACGUAGGCGGUUUAGAAAGUCAGGUGUUAAAGCGUGAGGCUCAACCUCAUAAAGCAUUUGAAACUUCUAGACUUGAGUAGUGGAGAGGAAAGUGGAAUUCCUAGUGUAGCGGUGAAAUGCGUAGAUAUUAGGAAGAAUACCAGUGGCGAAGGCGACUUUCUGGACACAAACUGACGCUGAGGUACGAAAGCGUGGGGAGCAAACAGGAUUAGAUACCCUGGUAGUCCACGCUGUAAACGAUGAAUGUUAGGUGUCGGGUGUCAAAGCUCGGUGCCGCAGUUAACGCAUUAAACAUUCCGCCCGGGGAGUACGAUGGCAACAUUGAA